ACACUGAUUAGUAAAAUUUCUGACCCACCACAAUGUGUAUGGUGGAACGUGCUGCCUAUUGAAGCUAGUCAUGUGAAGUGAGAGGAAUUGGCCUGUUCUGAGUCCAAUCAGACACAGUAAGAAUAGGCCAGCCUGACCCAUUCAUUCAUAAGGGAGUUUUUCACCGGAUAAGAAGAUGAGAAAAGAAAUGUACAUUUUAUGGUCGCAGCAAGAGAACUUGGUAUUGCAUGGGGUGAUACACCAAAGUAUUGGGAAUGAGUAUCUCUUUUGGACUCCAGGUUUUAUAUUUUAGCGAUCCCAUUCCUUGUACCUUAAAUUUUUUUGAAAGAUAUUACUUUAUUUAAUAUAGAUAUUGAGCAUGGUGAAGUUUUUGUAGAUUCUCAAAAGUGGCUAAACUCAAUUUGGUCUGUUGGCUAGAUAUUCGAGGCAAAAUUGAAACUCGAAUACUGUCGAAAAGAACCAAAUAUGUUGCUUAUCUAGUGUUCAAAUGGGAAGAUAACUUUUUUUGGCCUUAGAACUGCUAAUGGAGUUGUUAGAUUUGUUGAUUCUGAGAAUGACCAUAAAACGGAGCAACGAGGUAAAGUUGUAGGUUUUCAAGAUGAGGAGCUAGAGAGACACUACCCUUGAAAAGAGGUGAUGGAUGGAACUAAAAAAUGGGAAACCUUUUCAACGAUACAGGAGAAUAUGGAGAAGUUGAAGCGCAAUAGAUGGAGUUUAGGCAUCUCGGUUGGAAGCACGGCCUCAUUGUUCACGGAAUUGAGUUUCAUCCAGAAAGAUGAAGAGAAGGAUCCUCCUCUUACUAUGCCUUUUGUUUUGGUCUCAUUUGGAUUGAUUCAAAUACUUCUUAUAUUGUCCUUCCCGAGGAAUGUAUCGAGAUUAACAUGGUAUUGAAUGUAUUAUCUAGACAAUAAUUAUUUUUUUAACAAGGUAUUGAAUGUAUCAUCAAAGAUUUGCUAGAUGAACAACCAUUUGUGUCAGCUCGUACUACCACUGAAAUUGUUCUGUAUAAUGCUCUAAAUUCAUGAAAAUCA